GCCGCGUCGGCGGGCCGGGGCCCGUCCUCGUCGACGGCGGGGCCGAACGGCGCGUCCCGUUCGAGAUCGGGAUCGCGGCCC
rnacentral:tRNA from 1 species